UACGGAGGAUGCAAGCGUUAUCCGGAUUCAUUGGGUUUAAAGGGUACGUAGGUGGCCUGUUAAGUCAGUGGUGAAAGUUUGCCGCUUAACGGUAAAUUGCCAUUGAUACUGAUGGGCUUGAGUGCAGAUGAGGUAGGCGGAAUGUGUAGUGUAGCGGUGAAAUGCUUAGAUAUUACACAGAACUCCGAUUGCGAAGGCAGCUUACUAAACUGUAACUGACGCUGAGGUACGAAAGCGUGGGGAGCGAACAGG
rnacentral:rRNA from 1 species